AAAUUGAAGAGUUUGAUCAUGGCUCAGAUUGAACGCUGGCGGCAGGCCUAACACAUGCAAGUCGAACGGUAACAGGAAGCAGCUUGCUGCUUCGCUGACGAGUGGCGGACGGGUGAGUAAUGUCUGGGAAACUGCCUGAUGGAGGGGGAUAACUACUGGAAACGGUAGCUAAUACCGCAUAACGUCGCAAGACCAAAGAGGGGGACCUUCGGGCCUCUUGCCAUCGGAUGUGCCCAGAUGGGAUUAGCUAGUAGGUGGGGUAACGGCUCACCUA
rnacentral:rRNA from 2 species